UGAGGCACGAAAGUGUGGGGAUCAAACAGGAUUAGAUACCCUGGUAGUCCACACUGUAAACGAUGAUAACUCGCUGUCGGCGAUACACAGUCGGUGGCCAAGCGAAAGCGAUAAGUUAUCCACCUGGGGAGUACGACCGCAAGGUUGAAACUCAAAGGAAUUGACGGGGGCCCGCACAAGCGGAGGAACAUGUGGUUUAAUUCGAUGAUACGCGAGGAACCUUACCCGGGCUCAAACGGUGCAUGAAUGAUUAAGAGAUUGAUCAGACCUUAGGGACAUGUAUCGAGGUGCUGCAUGGUUGUCGUCAGCUCGUGCCGUGAGGUGUCGGCUUAAGUGCCAUAACGAGCGCAACCCUUGUCAUUAGUUACCAUCAGGUCAAGCUGGGGACUCUAAUGAGACUGCCACCGUAAGGUGAGAGGAAGGGGGGGAUGACGUCAAAUCAGCACGGCCCUUAUGUCCGGGGCGACACACGUGUUACAAUGGGGGGUACAGAGGGCAGCCAUCCGGCGACGGAGCGCCAAUCUCAAAAACCCUUCUCAGUUCGGAUUGGAGUCUGCAACCCGACUCCAUGAAGUUGGAUUCGCUAGUAAUCGCGCAUCAGCCAUGGCGCGGUGAAUACGUUCCCGGGCCUUGUACACACCGCCCGUCAAGCCAUGGAAGCUUGGGGUGCCUGAAGUUCG
rnacentral:rRNA from 1 species